rnacentral:rRNA from 1 species
UACGUAGGGUGCAAGCGUUAAUCGGAAUUACUGGGCGUAAAGCGUGCGCAGGCGGUGAUGUAAGUCAGAUGUGAAAUCCCCGGGCUCAACCUGGGAACUGCAUUUGUGACUGCAUCGCUGGAGUGCGGCAGAGGGGGAUGGAAUUCCGCGUGUAGCAGUGAAAUGCGUAGAUAUGCGGAGGAACACCGAUGGCGAAGGCAGCCCCCUGGGCUAACACUGACGCUGAGGCACGAAAGCGUGGGGAGCAAACAGG